UACGGGGGGGGCAAGCGUUGUUCGGAAUUACUGGGCGUAAAGGGCUUGUAGGUGGCCAACUAAGUCGGAUGUGAAAUCCCCAGGCUUAACCUGGGAACUGCAUCCGAUACUGGAUGGCUUGAAUCCGGGAGAGGGAUGCAGAAUUCCAGGUGUAGCGGUGAAAUGCGUAGAUAUCUGGAGGAAUACCGGUGGCGAAGGCGGCAUCCUGGACCGGCAUUGACGCUGAUGAGCGAAAGCUAGGGGAGCAAACGGG
rnacentral:rRNA from 1 species